rnacentral:rRNA from 1 species
UACAGAGGUCCCAAGCGUUGUUCGGAUUCACUGGGCGUAAAGGGUGCGUAGGCGGUCGGGUAAGUCUGACGUGAAAUCUCCAAGCCUAACUUGGAACUGCGUUGGAUACUAUCCGGCUUGAGGAAAUGGAGGGGAGACUGGAAUACUUGGAUGUAGCAGUGAAAUGCGUAGAUAUCAAGUGGAACACCAGUGGCGAAGGCGAGUCUCUGGACAUUUCCUGACGCUGAGGCACGAAAGCCAGGGAGCAAACGGG